rnacentral:rRNA from 1 species
UACGUAGGGGGCAAGCGUUGUCCGGAAUCAUUGGGCGUAAAGAGCGUGUAGGCGGCCCGAUAAGUCCGCUGUGAAAGUCCAGGGCUCAACCCUGGAAUGCCGGUGGAUACUGUCGGGCUCGAAUCCGGAAGAGGUGAGUGGAAUUCCUGGUGUAGCGGUGAAAUGCGCAGAUAUCAGGAGGAAUACCGGUGGCGAAAGCGACUCUCUGGACGGCAACUGACGCUGAGGCACGAAAGCGUGGGGAGCAAACAGG